rnacentral:misc_RNA from 1 species
GAUGAAGAACGUAGUGAAAUGCGAUAAGUAAUGUGAAUUGCAGAAUUCAGUGAAUCAUCGAAUCUUUGAACGCACCUUGCGCCCUUUGGCCAUUCCGAAGGGCAUGCCUGUUUGAGUAUCAUGAACACCUCAACUCUUUAUGGUUUUCCAUGAUGAGCUUGGACUCUGGGGGUUUUGCUGGCUCACAGUCGGCUCCUCUAAAAUGAAUCAGCUUACCAGUGUUUGGUGGGUAUCAUGGGUGUGAUAACUAUCUACGCUUGUGGUUUUUCCACCAGGUAACCUUCAGCAGUGGAGGUUCGCUGGAGCUCAUAGAUGUCUCUCCUCAGUGAGGACAGCCCUUUGAAUGUUUGAUCUCAAAUCAGGUAGAACUACCCGCUGAACUUAAGCAUAUCAAUAAGCGGAGGA